rnacentral:pre_miRNA from 1 species
CAAGUACUUUCUCCGUUCAACAAAAUAUGUCUCAAGUUUGUCAAAAAUUGAAUGUACGUAGACAUGACUUAGUGUAUAGAUGCAUUCAAAUUUAGUCAAAGUUGAGACAUCGUUUGUUGGAUCGAGGAAGUACGAG